rnacentral:siRNA from 1 species
GGCUUGAUUCUGUGAACUC